rnacentral:rRNA from 1 species
AACGAACGCUGGCGGCAGGCUUAACACAUGCAAGUCGAACGGAUGUAGCAAUACAUCAGUGGCAGACGGGUGAGUAACACGUGGGAACCUUCCUCGUUGUACGGGACAACUCAGGGAAACUUGAGCUAAUACCGUAUAAGUCCGAGAGGAGAAAGAUUUAUCGCAAUGAGACGGGCCCGCGUCGGAUUAGCUAGUUGGUGGGGUAACGGCCUACCAAGGCGACGAUCCGUAGCNGAUCUGAGAGGAUGAUCAGCCACACUGGGACUGAGACACGGCCCAGACUCCUACGGGAGGCAGCAGUGGGGAAUCUUGGACAAUGGGCGCAAGCCUGAUCCAGCCAUGCCGCGUGAGUGAAGAAGGCCUUAGGGUUGUAAAGCUCUUUUGCCAGGGACGAUAAUGAC